GCCUGAUUGGCCAAGUUGGUAAGGCGUCGCACUUGUAAUGCGAAGAUCACUAGUUCGAAUCUGGUAUUAGGCA
rfam:Hanseniaspora osmophila strain AWRI3579 Hanseniaspora_osmophila_AWRI3579_scaffold6, whole genome shotgun sequence.